CCCUGAUUCUGCCCAGCUCCUACUUCAGCCUCCCAGGGUCUGACUCUGCUUCCUCACCUGCCAUGUGUUGGUGUGAAAAAGUAAUGAGAAGAGCCUGCCUAUGGCAGGGCACUGUUUGUGCCUGCCACUUUAAGGGCCAGAAGACAGCAGCCGGCAGGUGCCUGAUUACGGCAGCCAUUUUAGAUUCAGGGCUGCCCAUAUAAGCAGGGCAUUUUGCAACAAUAUUGCCAGGCUGCAGGUAUCAUCUGGAGGUAAGGGAGGAGCUGUAGGGGAUGGUCAGGAGGCUCCUGGUCCUGGGCAUGACCUAAAACUGCACCCUGACGGGAGUGGAUGGCCUGGUGGGGCUCCCAGUGGUGCGGGAGCCCCCAGGAAAUGCCAGGCCAGUUACCACCCCAGUGAAAGGUGGGUUGGGGUGCCCUAGCCCCUGCAACCGGAUAGGUUACCCCUUUUGUAGCAUCUGGAAGGUGGACCCCAGAGAGAGAGUGGGGCCAUAGACUCACACCUGUCUGAACUACCCCUGACCAACUGGUCCAUGCUGGGGCCAGGACUGGAAGGGUCGAAGGGCCAAGGGCCCACAGCAAGGAAUGUCCAAGAGCUGAGGGCCUGGGGUCCCAACUGGCCUGGAGGUGGGCCAGGGCUAGUAGCCAAAGGUCCUGGGGGGACCACACCCGUAAGGAGGAGCAGCUCAGAGAGCUUUGCAGCUGGGAAUGAAGGCAGAAUAGGCUGCCUGAAUGGAGGGAUCUAAGUGGGGCUCAACUGGUAGGAUUCUGGGGCCCAGUGCGGGGCUGGUGAUAUGGAUAACAUCUGGAUGCCAUCUGCGAGGCUUAGGCUGCGGUGUAGGGGAGGAACGGAGCCGCAGAUAGCUCCCCCUGGCAUUGGGGCAGGAAAUGGGCAGCCUCCUGCUUAAUUUACAUCAAUUAAUUAAUUAUCAUCAAGGCGUGGCGGGCGGAUAGCCCAGAAACAGGUGGGCAGGCCACAGUGAGAUCGGCCGGGAGCUGGCGCCCUGUUACACUGCCCUUAGAAGGUGGUGAGCCUUGGGUACACUGUCACUCUUUCAGUGUUCAUCUUCUUGGGCCCUACCUGCCUUAAGGGGCAAAUUCACGGCCUCCUUCCACCUCUACAGCCAUACUCAUGCCUCACAGUUGCCACUUUGUCUGGAGUCUGCUCCUUGUGUAGAGGCCACGGCCCUCUAGGUUUUAGCCCCCCUUUUUUCUGGCUGUAAGCCUGUAGCCCUGGGCCACUGAUUUGGGCCUUAGUCUAUGCUGCAUAUCUGUUCUCUGGGUCCCUCAGCCCUGUCUUACACCUCAUCUCAUCCCCCUCUGGCAUCCCUAACCCAGGACAAGGCUGCCCUUGGUUCAGACCAGCCCUCCCUGGCAUCCCUGGCCCAGAGAAAGGCUGCUUCCAGUUCUGCCCACCCCUUCUUGUUAUCGCUGACCCAGGGCAAUACUGCUCUCGCUCCAUUCGGCAUCCCCUGGCAUGUCUGACCCAGAGCAAGGGUUUAUACUGGGUGCCCCUGCAGCACCUCUGUGGUCUCCUCUUCCGCCCUUGCAGCAGGGGUGGGCAAUUAUUUUGGGCAGAGGGCCACUUACUGAGUUUUGGCAAGCCAUUGAGGGCCACACGAAAGGCACCCCAGGGCAGAUUAAUAUUAAUUUCCUAAAUUUUUUAAGGGCUCUGCGGGCUGGAUAGAAUGGCCUGGUGGGUCGCAUCCGGUCCCUGGGCUGCGUUUUGCCUACCCCUGCCUUACAGCCAUACCCACUCCUCUGGUUUUAAGUUUAAAUCACAACGCAAAUAUAAGCCACUGCUUCGCAACUACAAACCCACCCAGCUCUGGGUGUUUGCCUCACUACGGGCUAUCAGCUCCCCUUAGCUUUCUCCUGGUAGCAGCUCAGGUGCCUGCUAGUCUGUUGGCUGCUCCUCUCCCUGCAGCACACAGGGCCGGUCUACCUGCUCUGGCCCAGGCCCUGGGUUUAUAUGCCUGGAAGCCUUUUCUGUUACGUGCUUUCCCCUGCCCUGCACAGGGGUUUGUCCCUGUUCAUUAAGAGCCAGUCUGCCCUCCCACAGCUGCAGCCCCACUAAGAUAGCUUAGCUUGCUGUGUCGUCUUAAAAGUGGCAGGAGCCCCCUGGCUCCCUCUUACAGUCCCCUCUCCUCCCCUUGCAUUAUACUCAAGUAGCAAGGUGUGGGUUCCCUGUUACAGGGGGAAUAUGCCAACCAGUGCUGGGAGGAGGAAGAGCAGCCUUACCUUCCUGGGCUCUCUGCAUAGGAGCAUAGCAAUAGAAACUGCCUCCCCUGUGCAAAGAGCCUGAGCAGCACCGAUGGAGAGAAAGGGAGAGUCGGACAGCAGCAGCCCUGUGAUGCAGGCUCCCUGGACCUUUAUUUGCUUCAGCCCACACCAGAUACUCUCCUGGGUGCAGGGAUGCACCUGGUGUGAGCAAAACUCCCUGGGGUAGGACACCAUUCCUCUCAACCCUGCACCCCAACAAGCACUGUUGGGUAUGGGGCAGUGCUGCCCACCCCUAUCGUCUGGCAGGGCAGCACUAUCCCAGCCAUGGUAAAGACUCCCAGAGGGAUUCUGGUACCCCUAUAAUCACCCCCACUUGCCCCGCCCUUACAGUUAUGCGACUGGUUGCUGGGCCCUUCCUGAUUAAUAGCCCAGCCACUGUUUUCUUAAUGGUCCUUGUGGAGUUUUCCCUGGUGGUAUUUUAUCUUUCUUCAUUGUUUCAUUUCCAGCUUGUUUUUCUGUAUAGCCCCCUUUGUCUUAACUUCUUCAAGUCAUUAAACAUCUCUUACAGAUAUCAGACAAUCAUCUGGCAGAUAUAGCGGAAAUAAAUUAAUACAGAAAGGUCCCCUAUCUUCUGUACGCCCAUCAAUCUUACCUCCGUGGGUUUUUUUGCUGAAUUACAUUGCUUACUUGAAGGCCUUGAGUGACAAGAUUAAAAAAAAAAUUAAAAGACAAAAUUCGUGUGCGUGUGAAGGGACAAUUUUGUCUGAAUUACCACCUGACUCUUGUCUAGUGCUCAAAAAUUGCUUCCAUAGUGUUUUGUGAAGAGAGUUUUAUCUGGCAAAAGAUCAGAAAUGGAACACUGAAUCUCACAAUUUGUUGAUGUCUGAUCAGACAACGGUAAAUUCAGGACAACCUCUUCAUUUUCUUCUUUUGUAUUGUAUUAUUUAUUGGAGAUUUUAUUAAACCUUAUUAACAAAGGGCGUAGGAGAAAGAGUGGAAUAUUCCAUUGAACAUCCCGACGUGAUAUGUAAGAGUAACUCACAAUUUUUCUUCUCUUCCAGCCUGUGUGUGGAUUUUAAUUAUGCUGCAGAGACUGUCAAUCAUUGCUCUUCAAACAUUUGGGGAGUAGCAUGAGACAUCACAACACUAGAAGUGACACAGUUCUUGAUGUACAACAUGUGACCACAAAGUGCCGGAGGCACCAGAGCCUUGAACAUAUGGCACAGACCCACACAAUUCUGGAAGUGCUAUAGUCCAGGAUGUACGGCACAUACAUUCAUGGUUGUAGAGAUGCCAUGAUCCUGAGCACGUAGCAUAUGCACACGAUUCCAGACAUGCCAGCAUUCAUCUGUCCACCAAACACAAAUGUGUAAUAAAACCCGGACAGGAGCUGUGCCCAUUCAUCAUGCAAAUAACAUUUGUGUGUUUUUCAUUGCUCAGGAGAUGCAUUUAGGAUCCCACAGAUGAAUAUUUUCUAUUCCCUGCUCCCCCCCCCAGUAUUUUAAUUCCUGCCAAAUUGCCCAAUCACUGUAGAACUUAGUUGUAAGAUGAUCCAAAAAAGGAAACAAAUAAUGAACAAGCUUGCCAGGCCUGUCUUUAACCAGUUUCUAUGUUAUUUAUAUAUGUGAGUACAAUCACAUUUUUUCCUAAGGCCUUCCUGGACUGUUUACCCGAGAGUGUUCCCACUAGUUCUUUUCUUCUGCCCUUCACAGGUGAAAGAUUUUGGUGCAGCUGUUUUCACCGCACUAAAGUCCUAGUGUGACUCCGUGACUUCACUCCAGGGCUGGCCAAGAAAGCUUUUACUUAUUUUUCUAUGUAUCAAAUGUUGCACUUCUACAGGAUUUUCUUGAAAAAUGAAAAAGAAGUGCAGAUUGAGAGCCUGGGGUCAGGAAAAAGGGAUGAAAUAACAAGACAAUCUUCCAGCAAGGUCACCAUAAAAGAAACAGCUCGAUUGUAUUUCUCUGGAUAAUCUAAAGAAGAACAAAGAUCUGAAAAAAAACAGAAAGAACUACGUUUGACCUUGAAACUACUAACAACAGUUUAUUAUGCCCACCUUUAGUGGAAGGACUUUGUGGUGUGCUGCCACAAAGACCUGAAUGACAUUCAAGCAGGAAGCUAUGGGGUUUUCCUUACCGAAUCAGACCGCGGGUCCAUCAAAAUCAGUCUCCUGCUCCAGACUUACGCCCCAUGCUUCAGAGAGAGGCAACACGCAGACACGCACACUCUCAUGAUACAUCUAAGCCAUUUAUAUCAUACGGUUAGUAGAAGAAAAAAAAUCCUUGUUUAUCUCUGUUGAUCUGUGGUUUCAACCGUGCCUCUCAGUGUGGAAUCAGCACAGGCUCCUCCGGCGAUUGCUUACCACCCUGAACCGCAGAUACAAUUUCUCUUUUCUUAACAGAUACACUUACACAUUAGUGAUCAUAAAAACAACCUCUUGAUCCUUCUCCAAUUUGUUCUGCAAUAACUUUCAGAGAUACACCCUGACAUUACUGCAGCGAUGUAAAGAUCUCAAAUAUAUUAGGCACAGUUAUAAACUCACCUUUGCAACAUGCUCUUGUGAGUUUAUGCCUCCCGGUAAGCUUCCAGGAUUAAGAGUUAUUUGUGCAUUAAUCUUCACCUUUAUAACCCCUUUGCUCCAAAUAAAUUAACUAAAUUUAGCUAGAUAGAAAGACAAUAAACAGUAGUGCACCAGAAGGAAAGCUUUGCUUUCAUCUUUCUUUUCUGGAAUUGCUCUCCACUCAAAUGCUUGUCAGCUAACCUGAGCAACUUGUAACCAUCCAAAUUGAAAAUAAGACUGAAAAGGUCUUGUCCUUCACCUCUUCAUGUCGCUAUUUUUGGGUAAAGAUUUCAACGUGCAUAAAAAAUUAAAAAUAGAACCUUUUAGGAUAGCCUGCACCAGGACAGCCUUGCAUCUGCAGCAUUAGGUAAUCAUUCAAGGUUUAUUUUUUAGUUUGUUUUUUCAGAGAGCUUAGACAGCUAUAUUCUAUCCAUUUUCAAAGUCUACUGUCAUAAUUAGUUGCUAAAAUGAAGAACACCUAAAUGACUGCAGACCCACACAUUUGUUCACAAGAUGAUCCAACACUUGUGAGUAAAGGAUAAUGUCCUCUGAUGUAAUGCCAAAUUCUGCCAUCAGUAACACUGAUUUACACUUGAGAUAACUUUGUUGAAAUUAAAACUCACAAAGAUAUAUAAUCAUGUUUAACCAUGUGCAUAGUCCCAUCGGAGUACAUGGAAUCAGCAUAUGCUUCAAUGUAAGCAUUUAUGUUAAACUUUGCAAGAUGAGAUUUACUCUAGAUUUACACCAGCAUGACAAUGAGCGGAAUAGGGCUCGAAAUUCCUUAGAUCACUUGUACAUAUGUGGAGCUGUUUUAGCCUUGCCUGUGAAAGCUCCUCUGGAUCGUAUGCAAGUUUCCAACAUCUGUAGCAAAAGUCAGAUUCCAUCAAGAUACCCAACUGUUUAAAGCUACUCAUUUUGUAAAAAUGUAAUUACGAUUGAAUGAAACAACUCUCUGAACAUAUGGUUUUGAGUUUUGCCAGCAUUCAAGGCCAAUUUAUUUUUUAUUAAUCUAUGUUUGUAAGAUGUCUGAGCCACUCUGUGUAAAUCCCCUCCUUUUAAGAGGCUGAAAAUGAAGAAUCUCUGGAAAGAAAAGCAGGAUGGUGUGGUUGAUCAAAGGAUGCUGCACAGCAAAACCACUCUUGUCAAAUAUCAGACUGAUAAAGGGAGACUGCAAACUAACUUCUUCACAAUACAUUUUAAAUAUUUAUUUGCUUUAAAAUUUAGUAGAAGAUGCAAAUAUUAAUUUCUUUCUUUGCUGGUUUUGUUCUUGUUUCUGAAGUAAACAUCUUGUUUGCCUCCCUA